ACUCAUGUUUAACCUACACACCUGUUUGAGACAUUCAAUGGAGAGAGACCGAAGAAACAAAGUUAUAUCCUAGUACAGUGGUCAAGCAGUAGAAGUGCUUUUAACUUAUUGUAACCCCUAUUUUAGUCAGGGUAGUGUGAACAAGCAUUUUAUUCCAUGUUUACCUCUGGUCACUCAAGCUGUAUUGCAACAGAAGUCAUUGGUUGUUGUAUUGGAAAACAUUUCACAUGCUGUUUUUAAAAAUGGAUCAUAUUAAAACUGGGUUUUUUUCAUACAUAGAUAAUCACUUUUGAACAACAUAUGUUAUAGAUGAACAGAAAAAAACUUGAAAAUUUUCUAUUCCAUUUUAAGUCAUCUUUUGAUGCUGAUUUUUUAUUUGUUCCAUAGAAUUUUCUUCUUCUGUUUACCAAGUAGACAUUUUUCUCUCCUCACAAAUGAUCACGGAACUCUAUAUGUAACCAAAAUGAAUUGGUAAAUUUUGGUGACAAAAAAUGUUUGAAUACUGGAUGUUAUAUUAUAACGAAUAUACAUGAAAAAUCUUCUUGUGAUUACAACAAUUUUUGUUAUAAAUUCUGCGACCAGUUGAACAAUGGAUAUAUUUGAUUUAACAUUUUCUGACAUUUUGUACUGUGCAUACUGUAAUCAUUGAAUGUGUCUUUAAUUUAUUUUUUCUCACUGACAUAUAAUUCAACUCUUGUAAUUUUUCUCGACUUGUUGCUAUUGUGAAGACCAGGGGUAAAUGUGGGAGGUUUCUUCUCCAGUCAGCAUUCAUAAAGUGCUCCCUUGUUUUAGUUGAUCAUUUACUAUGUAUUGGGCAUUGACUGCCGUUGUAUACAGGCGAACCCUGAGGAAGUCUGUUGAGGGGCAGCGAGUACCUCAGCCUGGAUUUUAACAUCAGACAAUAUAACAUUAAAUGUUUUAAAUAACAGCC
rnacentral:misc_RNA from 1 species